rnacentral:piRNA from 1 species
UCCAGCACCAUGCCUGCCCUUGUGCAC